rnacentral:rRNA from 1 species
AUGGCAGCGUCCUCUUCCCGCAGCAGUAUGGUGCGUCCCGCUUCCCCGACAUCCCACAACUGCCGGUGUCAUAGAGUAAAUACCUUGGCAUGCGGUAGCCGGCUUGGGGUAGAUGGGUGGCGAAGAUCACCAACUGUGAAACCCAGGAGAGGAUUUGGAUCGGCUCGUUCCAAUCAGUGGUGCAGGCGGCGCCGGAGUACGGCAUUAUGCUGGUCUAUCUCCACGACUCAAACACAGGCUCAAAUUCCCCGACGGUAUGCCGCGGUAGAUGCCCGUCAACCCAUGGGUGGUCACCCCACGCGAUCUGCGGGUAGACCGGGAGGCCAGCGAACUCCUCGAAGGGGAGCAAGCCGACGAGGCGUACAUGCCAGAGCUCUGUCGCCUGUACCCGUAUGUGUCGAGGAGGAGUGCCAACAGUACAAUUUGUACAUGUCGGGGGCAUUGACAGUCAUCGACAUUGAAGAUCGCGACACGGAAGCGUUGCAGGAACGCGGAUGA